CGUAAGGUACGCAAAAGCCAUUGUUGCCAGAUUGAGGGAUUUUGAGACUAUUUAGCCCAUUUAUUUAAUGGAAGUGGAUGAAGAUCGGUUUCGUUGCCUAUUACGGGAUUCCUUUACCUGGGCGAGGCCCUUUGAGCGUGACGCCCCCCCCGCCACGCCACGCCACGCCAAUGACGCCAACCACGUGACAGAGGAGCAAUCCAUGAAAUGGGACAAUUGUGACAACAGCAUGUUCAAAAGCAGGCACCAUCGCAUGCACCCAACCCCCAACCACCCACCUAAUGGGCGCGCACACAGACACGCACACACACACACACACACACAUCCAAGCUUCUUUUAUAUGAAACCAAGCUUCUCAAAUACUUACUUUUGGCCUCAGGGACUCAGUAAAGUACCUGCUAAUAUAAAGUGCAUGUGAAAUCAAUGAAGAAUUUCAAUACCACUGAGAAAAGAGCAGUACAAGAUGUCCAUUUUCCUGCAUUAUGUCUUCCCAGAGCAUUAAAGACAAUAAACAAGAAUUGAACAUGUUUCCAUGGCAACCCUCAUUAGCUGUAACGGUUUUGUAAGAGAAAAAGCUGUACACAGUGUGUCGCAACCCAUUCCUUGUUUUCAGUGGCAAUUGAUAAUUUGUACAACAACAUGAGCUUUUCAUAUUGUACUUCUAAUUUCUGCUUUUUUUCCAUGUUUGCUCAAGAAAUGUCAAUAUGUAAAAGAUAUUCAUCCGCAUUUUUGGCAUGUUUUUUUUGGCAUCAACACUUUGUUGUCCUAAUGUCCACUGGACUACAGCAGUGGCUCCUCACUGGCUGUGUAGUAGGGACAGUGCCAAAUAAUGACAGCAGUUCUAUAUUAACAUACAUGUAUUGCUCUCUUCAAG
ensembl:lncRNA